rnacentral:lncRNA from 1 species
AUGACUGAGUGUUGGAAGAAAUGUGUAUUCCAUUACGUCAGGACCACUGUGUGCUUUCUGGAAAUGUGGCUGGCUAGCAAAGACUUUGAGGGAAGAGCAGGUUUUCUUCAAAGAGGAGGAAGUGUGCGUAUGUGUAGCUGUAUCUCAGGAGGAAAGUGGACAAGGAUCAGAGGUGGGAAGCCGGUGACAGAGACAUCAUUUUUGGAGGAAACAACUCAGCAUUGGAUGCUAUGUCACUGUUGGGUGGAAACGAGCUGCAUCUCCAGCCUCAUCCUGUGCUGUAGCUGUGAAGACUCGGGAGAGUUUCCCAUGAGUGACCUCUUCCACAAGCCCCUUCAUCCACCAAAUUCCAAAGACAGAGUUUGCAUGGUUGUGCUGCUAGUAUUUUCAAAUUCCACUCACUGGGUGGAGAAGGAUGGCUGCCCCUGACUUAGGCUCUUGUCCUGUAGCAGCCUGAUGCAACUCUGCUCCUCAGGAGGAUGAGUGCAGACAAUUGCCUCAAGGGUGAGAACAGUAGUUGAGGCCAGUACCUUUUCUGCAGCCUGUGCAAAAUAAAAGCUUUUUCGGAAAAGAAUCUGGACAAUUUCUGCAGUUCCCCUUGUACUCCUCCAGCAUACACAGUCAUUGGACUGGGGACAUUAGAAAAUGCAUUUCUUCCUAUUUGCUUUCAAAUCUUUUUGUGACCUUGUUGUUCAUGCAUUUGUCCUGUUGUUUAACCUGCUGAUACAAUCUGCCCCUGCAGCCUCCUAUGGCAGCAGAUUCAUUACUUGCUAUAUGGAAAAUAAAAUAAAAUAAAAUAAAAUAAAA